CCUACGGGAGGCAGCAGUAGGGAAUAUUGCUCAAUGGGGGAAACCCUGAAGCAGCAACGCCGCGUGGAGGAUGAAGGUUUUCGGAUUGUAAACUCCUUUUGUUAGAGAAGAUAAUGACGGUAUCUAACGAAUAAGCACCGUCUAACUCCGUGCCAGCAGCCGCGGUAAUACGGAGGGUGCAGGCGUUACUCGGAAUCACUGGGCGUAAAGAGCGCGUAGGCGGGAUAGCAAGUCAGAUGUGAAAUCCUAUGGCUUAACCAUAGAACUGCAUUUGAAACUGUUAUUCUAGAGUAUGGGAGAGGUAGGUGGAAUUCUUGGUGUAGGGGUAAAAUGCGUAGAGAUCAAGAGGAAUACUCAUUGCGAAGGCGACCUGCUAGAACAUAACUGACGCUGAUGCGCGAAAGCGUGGGGAGCAAACAGGAUUAGAUACCCUAGUAGUC
rnacentral:rRNA from 1 species